GCCCAAUGAUGAGACCAAGGCGAAUAAGAGCUUUCUGGAUUGGAGUUUGGGUUCUUCUGGUUUUUACUGACAGGUAAUCUUGGUAGUGUAGGGGAGGAUUCCUGCUCUGCUGUAAGGGCCUGUCUACAGUCAUUUGGCUCACACCCAAAUUAAUCCCCUAAAGUUAUAGUGGACUAAUCAGGGUACCGAAGCCAACAGAGUGGUCGUAUGGACAGUGGAAAAGCUACGAAGUUCACCCAGCUCUUUAUACUUCAGUCUGCAAUGAUUUGCUUCUUUGGUAAUCUGAGGGCC
ensembl:snoRNA small nucleolar RNA U85